AUUGAACGCUGGCGGCAUGCUUUACACAUGCAAGUCGAACGGCAGCGCGGGCUUCGGCCUGGCGGCGAGUGGCGAACGGGUGAGUAAUACAUCGGAACGUGCCCAGUAGUGGGGGAUAGCUCGGCGAAAGCCGGAUUAAUACCGCAUACGACCUGAGGGUGAAAGCGGGGGAUCUUCGGACCUCGCGCCAUUUGAGCGGCCGAUGGCAGAUUAGCUAGUUGGUGGGGUAAAGGCCUACCAAGGCGACGAUCGGUAGCUGGUCCGAGAGGGCGACCACCCACACUGGGACGGAGACACAGCCCAGACACCUGCGGGAGGCAGCAGUGGGGAAUUUUGGGCAAUGGACGAAAGCCUGAUCCAGCAAUGCCGCGUGUGUGAUGAAGGCCUUCGGGUUGUAAAGCACUUUUGGCGGGAACGAAAAGAACUGUGCCAAUACCACGGUUCGAUGACGGUACCCGCAGAAUAAGCACCGGCUAACUACGUG
rnacentral:rRNA from 1 species